UUGCAUCCUCAGUUCAGCACGCGGGCCUCCGGGCUCAGCCACGCUGUACUGCCAGCAACCAAAAUAAAUAAUAAUAAUAAUAAUAAUAAUGGUUAACUACUUAGUAAUGUAACUCACCGCUUUACAAGUAACCCCUAGUCGAUAAGGAUGGGACCUUGACUGACCAUUUGCCGAAGGGAUGGAAGCUGUUACGAACCCGAUUCCAUGUGCACAUAGCCCCACCGGGACAUCGGCAUCUAUGGACCUGAAGAAGCUGUUGUCCCCCGUGCAGACCCGGCCUCUGAUCAAGGCCCGUCCCUGUGUCCACGUGGAACAUUUUCGCGCCAGUCCUUCUGUGUCGAGUCGGACUUAACCGUUUCGGAACGGCUUCCAGAGGACCGCAAGCACUUUUGCGGCCCAGCCCCAAGUGUACGCGGCGACGCACGCCGCCCGAACAUUUGUAUAUAUGGAAAGUUUAUUCUAGUGUUUAAGGGAUGGUGACGUGCGCCGCCGCCUCAAUUGUUAAUUAAGGCCUUCGUGAUUUGCUUUACUAAUAUUAUGUAAGUUGCACAAAGCAAAAUAAGUUUUGGAUUGCUGUUUAAAAAAAAAUAAUAUUAAUAAUAAGAAACAAACCCUCUGAUUAUAUUAUAUUAUAUUAUAGAUUGUAGGUUAUACAUAUUAUUAUAAGUAAGGAAACGAGUAGAGAAACAUAUUUUCAAUACGGCAUCACCUGCAAUUAAGUGUAUGCGGCGUAUUAAACUAAUACUGCAUGUUACUUUUAUAAUUAAUAUACUUAUACAAUUUUUUGCGUACCUUAUUGUAUUAAAGUUGAACAACGUAUAUACGUAAAUUGGGAGUCCGAUCCGUUAAAAAUAAAAAAAAACGAACCCGAGGGAACAGUCCAGAACUGUCUCGUCACGGGAGUAGUUCAGCCAAUUAUACAAAAGGUGCAAGUAACUAACUAUUUAUUAGGACUUUUACAAUAGAUACAAUUCAUAGACUCAACUCACUGGUCAAGUAAUCAGGUUGUUCGUAUGAUCAAUUCCUAAUUACCACACCAAAUAAAGUCAACAAGAAAAACCUUUAUUUAUGGGAUUGAGUCGGUAAACUAAACGGAGUUGGUCGUACAAAUAAGUUGAUACGACACGCAAUAAACCUAACUGAUUGAUUGCUUUUGUUUAUGGAUCCGUCCAAGAACAAUUAACAAGUCUCACAAACUUCUGAUGUCAAUACUCCUGUCGCUAAUAACCGAAUCCGUAUGACCGGUUCGGUUCAUCGGAACUGCAAUCAACAGUAUCUAAAAAAAAAAAAUGAAAAAUGGCUAGUGAUAUAAAGAGUUAGCUAUUUAGUUAGAGUUUAAGUGCCCUGUAUACAAAGGGAUUGUCAAAUUAUACUCGAUAGUGAAUAGUGGCCUUUAAAACGAUAAACUUAUCCGAGCAUGCAUCACACAUUAUUAAAUUACACCGUAAUAGUGAUUGCUAACCCUUUGUACAAUGUAUUUAUCCUGUAUUCAUUAAAAUGGUUUGAGAAAAAGCA